CUAGGGUGAGGGCGCCGUGGUGCUCGGGAAGACCGGUGACAGCUGACACAAGCUCACUCCGGAGCGGCCCUCGCCACUGUGAUCGGGUAGUUCCCGCCUCUUCCGCCGUCGGCGGUGCCACUGGCCUUUCAAGGGCCGGGAAGGCAGAGGCGGGCGCGCUUCGCCCGUAAGCCAGGAGACCGGCCGCGGCAUCUCACGAAGU
rnacentral:ncRNA from 2 species